GAAUAGAUACCCUGAUAGUCCACGCCGUAAACGAUGAGUGCUAAGUGUUAGAGGGUUUCCGCCCUUUAGUGCUGAAGUUAACGCAUUAAGCACUCCGCCGUGGGGAGUACGGCCGCAAGGCUGAAACUCAAAGGAAUUGACGGGGGCCCGCACAAGCGGUGGAGCAUGUGGUUUAAUUCGAAGCAACGCGAAGAACCUUACCAGGUCUUGACAUCCUCUGACAACCCUAGAGAUAGGGCUUCUCCUUCGGGAGCAGAGUGACAGGUGGUGCAUGGUUGUCGUCAGCUCGUGUCGUGAGAUGUUGGGUUAAGUCCCGCAACGAGCGCAACCCUUAAUCUUAGUUGCCAUCAUUCAGUUGGGCACUCUAAGGUGACUGCCGGUGACAAACCGGAGGAAGGUGGGGGAUGACGUCAAAUCAUCAUGCCCCUUAUGACCUGGGCUACACACGUGCUACAAUGGACGGUACAAAGAGCUGCAAGACCGCGAGGUGAGCUAAUCUCAUAAAACCGUUCUCAGUUCGGAUUGU
rnacentral:rRNA from 1 species